rnacentral:tRNA from 1 species
AGGAUAAUAGUUUAAUUAAACAUUUAAUUUGCAUUUAAAAAUUGAUAGAACUUCUAUCUUAUCUUA